UACGUAGGGGCUAGCGUUGUCCGGAUUUAUUGGGCGUAAAGAGCGUGUAGGCGGCCAGGUAGGUCCGUUGUGAAAACUCGAGGCUCAACCUCGAGACGCCGGCGGAAACCCUUUGGCUAGAGUCCGGAAGAGGAGAGUGGAAUUCCUGGUGUAGCGGUGAAAUGCGCAGAUAUCAGGAAGAACACCCGUGGCGAAGGCGGCUCUCUGGGACGGUACUGACGCUGAGACGCGAAAGCGUGGGGAGCAAACAGG
rnacentral:rRNA from 1 species